rnacentral:lncRNA from 1 species
UCGCGGCUGUGCAGGAGAAGGUCAUCAUAGGGGUCCCUCCUGCCCUCAACCUGACUAAUCUGGGAGUCCCAUUUCAUCUGCGAAUUGUGGCGGUCAAAGGUCCAGAACCCAUAUGGCCGGAGAGGUAAGGCCCACAUCUCCUUUGUCUUCUCACAUCGAUCCUUGGUCGCAUACACAUGCUCCCUGAAUUUCCUAUCUCGCUCCUUAGGGUCCUCCAUUAGCUUCAGUACCAGAUUCUCAGCAAACUCCAUUAUAAACCCCAUCUUGCACCUCUCUCCUUCCC